rnacentral:rRNA from 1 species
UACCAGCACCCCGAGUGGUCGGGACGUUUAUUGGGCCUAAAGCAUCCGUAGCCGGUUCUACAAGUCUUCCGUUAAAUCCAACUGCUUAACAGGUGGGCUGCGGAAGAUACUAUAGAGCUAGGAGGCGGGAGAGGCAAGCGGUACUCGAUGGGUAGGGGUAAAAUCCGUUGAUCCAUUGAAGACCACCAGUGGCGAAGGCGGCUUGCCAGAACGCGCUCGACGGUGAGGGAUGAAAGCUGGGUGAGCAAACCGG